UGCAGGUAUCAGUCUGUGUCACCUGUGGUAAUUGACCAGAGGUGUGGCAGAGGGCGGGGUGGAAACAAACGGAACUACAUAGAGGAGACAGGGGAGCGAGAGAGACGCAGAGCAGGAGAAAUACCGACAAAACACUAGGUCAAAACAGCUGUUGAAAGUGUGUGUAAACAGAAGAAAGGUGGACAGCCAUGGCCUUGCACAAUCACGGUUGAUUCGAGUAAGACGUUGCAGGAGUGUGUCUGUGCUAAGCUGAAGGCGGCGUGUCGCUGGACCAGAGGACGCCAUUGCUGAUCGGGCAGGACUCUCGUAGUGUGUCGGUGCUCUGCUCAGGUUUACUAGUUGCAAGGUCAGAGGACCAUCGCUGAUCGGAAAAAGCGGUUGUUGUGCAUCCUGAGGAAAACUCCGUUGCCGCUGCCAUCUAACUUCUCUCAUCGGAGUUGGACCCUUCCUCAAGGACUGCCGCCAAAACGGUAACCCUUCGUGAUUGCUACCUUAAGAAAUCGAACCCAAACACCCCAUCAUUCCAGCCUAAGUCUGCGGCUGCACAGCAAGCGCUUUCUGCAAAUAUGACUUUGGCAUUAGCUCUGAGAGAGAAGAAUGGGGUGCAUGAAACUCCACUGGAGGAAGUGAUGGGGACCACUACGUCGGGCCACCUCACUAGCCGUCUCCAUGCUGCUGCUGUGGAGCCCCGGCUUCAGGUGUCGCUGAG